rnacentral:rRNA from 1 species
UACGUAGGGUGCAAGCGUUGUCCGGAAUUAUUGGGCGUAAAGAGCUCGUAGGCGGUCUGUUGCGUCGGCUGUGAAACCCGGGGCUCAACUCCGGGCCUGCAGCCGAUACGGGCAGACUAGAGUUCGGCAGGGGAGACUGGAAUUCCUGGUGUAGCGGUGAAAUGCGGCAGAUAUCAGGAGGAACACCGGUGGCGAAGGCGGGUCUCUGGGCCGAUACUGACGCUGAGGAGCGAAAGCGUGGGGAGCGAACAGG